AGCUCAAAGGGCUUACCUUAUUAACAUCACAGGAGCCGUGGAGCAGGGAAUGGAGAACCAGGACAUGAAUAAUAGCUAUUGAACUCAGCUGAAGUGAUUUUACUUGGAGCGGUCAGCCUUUAUUUUAGGGUGCAUUCAUGGACAGUGGAUGGACUGGGAAUUCAAAGCAAGUCCACCUGAUUUAUGAGCCUCUGGGCUCUUUCAGCUCCCCUGGCACUUGCCGAGAGGAGUCAACAAACUCUGAGCUGUGGUGAAGGUCUCUCUAUCUGCUUAAACCAUUUAAAGAAGAAGACGCUGAAGCCGAGGGAAUCCAAAGACCAAAAAGUCUUAACAGGCAGAAUACUGGCAAUCAGACUGGCUGUCAAGACCACUUCACAGCAUGCGGGUAUUGCCAGGAGCAUCUGGACGAACACGGCUUGCAGCUUUGCAGUAGCUUGGUGGCUCUCCAAAAAACUUUCUGGCAAAUGCCAUUCAGAGGCCCUGACGCAGAGAAUAAUGUGGACUGGUCCUGGAAAAGCUGCAAGGAGCAGGAUUCGGGGAGAGGAGCAGCAAGGUGCAUGUUGA